rnacentral:lncRNA from 1 species
GUUUCUUAACAAAAGAAUUGACAUGGAUCAUUUUUCACACCUGAUGAACUUGAAUAAGGUAUAUAGGUAUAAUUAACAUUAACUAUCAUAAAGUUUGUCAUCUUGUUGGGUCACAGCUUUAUCAUAUCGACCACUUUCCUGACAUUAAUGUCCAUAAUUGAUUUUUAUAGCAUUAAGUUUCACGGGUUUUCUGGUUUAGUCUAUUUUUAACCAUAAUUAUGUUUUGUUUUCCAGAAACAUUGUGGAAAACGCACUUAAAGUAUAGCAUGCUCAUUUCCAUUUACGUCAAAUUAAUUACGCAAUAUUUAUUUUAAUCAACUAGUAACGGAUACAGCCACUGGACCAAAGUAUGCCAAACUUGUUCCUCCAGCUUCCGAUCCCCGAUGUACCAUGUAUGGUUUUGUUAACUAUAAACAACCCCAAAAACAACCAUUCAAAGAAAACGACAAAAGUAUCAAGAUUUUUACCCAUGUGUAUAACAUAUUAAUAUAAUGAAAUAUUUACUUGAUAUAGUCUUCAAAUGUAAAAUAACAAAAAUACCGAACUCUAAGGAAAAUUCAAAAAUGAAGGUCCCUUAUCAAGUGGCAAAAUCAAAAGCUCAAUCACAUCAAACUGUGAUAAAAAAAUCCAGAUUAAAUAACUUGUCGAUCGAGUGCCAACUCGAUAUGUUUGAUAAGGCUAUUGUUCCUAUACUAACGUAUGGGUGUGAGAUAUGGGGAUUCGAAAAUUUAGAUAUUCUUGAGAGAGUUUAUUUGCGUUUUUGCAAACAUAUAUUGAGGUUAAAAAAUUCAACCCCCAAUUUUAUGGUCUAUGGGGAAUUGGGAAGAUGUCCCAUUUCUGUUACCGUCAAGUCACGUAUGAUUAAUUUCUGGUGUCGUUUACAAGAAGGAAAAGAGAGCAAAAUAUCAUGUUUAUUAUAUAAGCUGUUAUAUGUAAAUUUUAAUAACUAUGGUUAUGAUAGUAAAUGGAUAUUAUAUAUAAAGAAAAUUUUUGAUGACUGUGGAAUGUCAAAUAUAUGGCAAAGUCACAACUUAUUUGAGAAACGUUGGGUUGUAUUGAGUGUUCAGCAAAGAUUAAGAGAUCAGUUCAUUCAAGAAUGGUCAACAGAAAUGAACACUUCGCCCAAGGGGCUGUGUUAUAGAUUGUACAAAAAUGUUUUUAAAUUUGAACACUAUUUAUCAGUACUACCAUUUAAUUUAUUAAUAACCUUAUGUAAAUUUAGAUGUGGGAAUAACCGUUUGCCCAUCGAGACGGGAAGGUGGCGCAACAUACCAAGAUCUGAAAGAUUGUGUCACCUUUGUGGCUCAGCUGACAUUGGUGAUGAAUACUAUUAUAUCAUGUCUUGUAAUUAUUUCAAAGAUGAAAGAUGCAAAUACUUACCACAUUAUUGUAAUAAAAAUAUAAAUGUUAUCAAAUUCAAACAAGUAUGUUCAACCCAAAAUAUUGUUGAACUUGAGAAACUUUGUAGAUUUAUUAAAUCUAUUUCUGUGAAAGUCUAUCCUCCUGGUUAAUACAACUAUAUAUGUUUAUUUAUCAUUUGUGUAAAUAUUUAUCAUAUUAAUUUUGUAUUUCACACAUGCUAUGUCUUAUAUAUGUUAUAUAUAUUAUUGUAAUAUCUUCUCUGUAACUAUGUAUUUGGUUUAUGAGAAUAAAGAUCAUUCAAUGGAAAACAACUGCCAUAUUUCUGACUUGGUACAGGCAUUUUCCUUAUGUAGACAAUGGUUGCAUGUCUUUUCACCAAAAAUUCAUUUUUUAACCUUUCUUGAUUUAUAUGGUAUAAAGUUGGAUUUUAUUGUUUCUUGAUCGUUUUCUUUGUCAGGUUUAAUCUUAAAAGAAUUGUGCUAUGUUUUUUCUAAUUAAUACCUCUUUUUUUCGUUUUUAUAAGAAUUUUUCGGUUGAUUGUUGUUUUCGUAACGUCCAGUUGAAAAUAUUUCACUCAUAUUCAGGACGAUCGUUAAUAUGAAGAGUCACCAAAUAUCAGUUUCAUCAUUCAUAUGCAACAUGAAACUUUGUAUCGAAUUCAUGCAAAUUUUGUCCUUUUUUUACUUUUUUUUAUUGACAAACUAGGUGUCAUGUUCUAGUGCAAUGUAAUUGAUCCAUCUGAACAGACGUACUGUAUAAUUAUAGCAGUCUCCACAGAAACUAAAUCGUAGAAGCUAUAUAUACAUGUAUAGAUAGUACGUUAUAUAGUACAGCAAAUUGGAAAUAGCUUGAUGCUUGAAAAAAAUUGAUAUAUUUUUAAUUUACAUUUUUAUAAGCGAGACAAAUAGCCUAUAAAUGCUAGGAAAUUACCAAUAUAUACAUAUCAAAGGAAAACUGAAAAGACUUCUUUCAAAUCUAGAUAUUAUCAUAAAACUAAUUGCUAAAAUUCUGAUGCAAAUUUCAGUUAUUUGGACAAAAACAACAUUUAUGAAGACGUUUAGAAAAACGGUCGCAAGCCCCUUCGUGGUUACAGAGAAAAUAAUUUCUUGUUCAUUAGAGAAUCCCACUCCUUCAAUAUACUUUAUAUAAAAAAUAUUCAUUUAUUCCGUUUCGUAUAUAUAGCUCCAUAUGUGAUCUAUGAGGUUCUAACAAUAGUAUGACUUCUUUCUAAACAAAUGAACUGAACUGAAGAACAAAAUCGCAUUAUUGAAAAUUUUUUGUUACAUUUCAAAAAUGUAUUUAAAAACAAUAUAAAACUAAACUAAUAUUUUUUUAGAAAUAAAGCUACAUAUAUUGUUUUUUCUUUCCCAGAUGAAAAUAGUUUCAUUUUGGUUAGAGAUGCAAUUCGAUGCAAAAUCCAAAGGAUGAAUAAUUUGCAUCAAAC